rnacentral:lncRNA from 1 species
UGCUAUUGAUAAAAUUAUUGGAUGGUUCACUUUUUUUUUUUUUUUUUGUAAUAGUAAAGAAAAGUCUAAAAGGAGAGGAGGCUACCGAUUUCAUGGUCAAGGUACUAAGACCUCUUUGAGGAUGGUCAAGGCAUACUAAGAUCUCUUUGAGAAUGACUCAAAUCUAGACCUUACUAGCGAAGAGAACGUUCGUUACCAAAUCAACUAACCAUCAUUUGGAUGGGUCGCUUUAAUGUUGCUGCCAACAUGACUUGUGAGGCUUUUGGACAAGUCUCUCAUCACAAGAUAGAAUUUUGGCUAGUCUGCCGUACUGGUUUCUGAUCCGGGCAUAUAGAGUAGAUACAAAUUGGGGGUGCUACGGGAAAAAGAUCUUGGCCUUUUUCUUAUAGCUAUGAAAAUAUCCUCGAGCCAGAAAUUUGACGAGAUUUUAAAUAAAUUUAAUGAAGAAAAUGACAGGAUAUCUCUCUGUUAUCCAUAUUGGCUUGAGGUUACUCAAAAGAAUUACCAACUAGGUGGUCGAUCAAAAACAUUUAAUUUAGAUUUGAUAUACGAGAAAUGAAUGAUUAUAUGACCAAAUCUCGUUUUCAUUAGGCUAUAGGGCAUAAAGGGUGGCUUGAACAAAAGGGCAGAAUGUUGGGAAUUCCACUUUUUAAGGAGAAGUCAGAAGCAUGCAUAUGACCUCUCACCACAUAAAGGAGACCGUAAGAGCUUUAACAACAUGAUUUGGAAGCCCACUUAAGUCAAAGACUUGAGUAUACAAUCCGUAAGUGCAUUACUAACCAACGACAGGUUUAACAUUCGUUAGAUUUGAACAAAUGAUUCAGAUCACAUGAUCAUAUGAUCACAUUAUGCAGUAAGCCCAAAUGAGUAACUCACUAACAUAUUUUCGUUUGCGAACUAUUCGGAUUAUGAAAUUACAUAACAUGAUAUACGACCGGUGAAAAUAAGUGGUUAAGAUUGAGUGUUAGUAAUAUCAUUCAAUGCAUAUUUAAUUCUGUAAUAAUAAGAUUUUUGUUGCUUAUGUUUUGUGAAAGCAGAUGCAUCGUUUUGAAGUUAAGGUUUAGUAUACAAUAAAAUAUUUAAAUUCAGAAUCUAAUCUAACAAAAUAAUGAUUAAAUUUUGCUAAACCAAAUUAAUGAAAGUCGUCAUUUUUUUUCGAUUCAGCGUACAAUAAGUUUCUCAUAUACUGCCAAAGUGUCAUGAGAAUUUGAACUUGAAAUCAUUAGUCUUUUUUAUUAGACUACACCCCAUUAACAACUGCCAUAUUUUUUUAGUAGAAUAUAAGUAUAGAAUUUUGAGUCAUAAAUAUGUCCUAAUUAUCCGAGUUGAACAAUGAGACAAAGCACACUCGGUGUUCAAAAUCGCUUGCAUGAUAUGAAUAGAGAUUGAGAUCUUAAUCAAGUACCGCCCUAGCCAGCUUUAUCAAGUCCCGCCCUAUAUAAGUGGGUCGAUUGAUACAUGGAGAUGGAGGAAAAGAAAGGUGGGAAUUGGCGGGAUCCGGAAAACAUGGCAAUGCUAAAAGGCCAAAUGGGUCCCACUAGAAGAGAAAUUUGAGGCCAGUGUAAUUUGGCUUUGCCUAAAGAGAAAUUGAGAAAAGAUAGCCCUCCACAUGGGGGCGUUAAAGGUUUGCCCUUUUCAAGGAGGAAUACUCUCGUGCAAUUGAGAUAACAAUUUUCAUUAUUUUUGAUGAACAACAUAAAGAUACGAGGACUAAUAUUUUCACAUGUCAUUGUGUUAUUGAUUAAGGAUAGCAAAAUAGUGUUAUUAUUAAUAUAAGAAAGAUUUUUUCCUUUCUAAAACUCUCUUUAAGUGCAUCUGUAAAUUACAAGGGAUUUGUAUCUCAAAUAAUUAAAAACAAUUAUCUCUACACCUAAAAUUAUAUUUUUGAUCCACAAUUCCGUCCAAAAAAUCACGUGUCUUUUAUGUGACUUGCUGAUGUUUUAUUAUUAUUAUUAAAUAUUUAGAAAAUAAAAAAAUGAAACAAAGAAAGAAAAAGAAAUAUUUAAAAAUAAAAAUAAAGGGAACCCGGCCACCCCUCAUCCCCUCCUUCCCUUGGCAAGAUUAAUUUUGGUGUUGCUGAUUGCAACAAUAAUGACAAUCAUAAGCUCAUCAUCUAUAUAUAUAAAGCAAAAGGCAGAGAAUUGUGAAACAUUCAAAAUACCAGAAAAUGCCCUUGGUUAAUGCAAACAUUAAGAAUUAAAAUUAUUAAUUAAAUGAGGAUAAUAUGGUAAAUUCAUAAUUUUUCAUAUUAAAAAAAUUAAAAUUAAAAGAAAAUUCAUAUAAUGGAUCCUAUUUUUAUGGAACCAACUAUCCAUUAUCUUUUUUAAUUCUAAAAUAAAUUUAAAUUUUUUUAAAAAAAAACCUCUCGCAGGCGCAGAAGCGCGUGCAGAGAGGCUAGUCUACAUAGUUACAGAAGUUGCAGCACCAAUAGUUGAAAAAUAUAAAGUCUUACAUAAGAAACUUAAUUUAAUAAAUUACAAUUUAUAAUAAGUGGUUUCAUUCCUAAUAACACCGAGGUCUUAUGUGAUAAAAUCCUAUUUAUUGGGCUUUGUAGGUAGUUCAGUUGAGAAAAAUAUCGGUGUUGCUAGUAAUGAGUUGCUCCCCAACCUAAACCCAAACUCCAACCCAGACCGGCCACACCUUGAUUGGGUGUGGCUACCAACCGGCUACAACUUGACUAGGUGUUGACAUCGACCCGAUCGACUCCAAUUCAAACUAAUUUUCUGCUGCUUGCAUACCCAGAUGAUUAAAUUCAGUGUAAAUUUGACUCCAUGUGUGGCCCACUAUAUCAGUAAACACAUUGAAAUUCCAACAAUUGUAAUUGAGCUUAUUGUCUCUUUUUUCUUUCUUCUGAAAAUUUCAAAAUCCAAAUAAGUAAUCAUAGUUAGCGAUAUAUGGCUACAUGCGUGGACAAAUUUUUGGUGGGAUUACAUUGGAUGGACGGUUCCCUACUUUUUCAUGGGUGUCUAAGAAAAUUAGGGUUUGAGAGGUACAUAUCACAUGUGCAUGUGGCCCUAACUUUUGCCAUUUUUCUCUACCUCUCCAUUAAAACAUUUCGUAUGUAGAAACCAAUCUUCUGCAAAUGUCUGGCAGCUUAAGAUUGCGAUAUAUAUCAUGUAGAAAAUAUAAUGCUGAGACCACAUUGUCAACGGUUAGAUUUGAAUCUCAAGUUCGAUUUCGAUUUCGAUUUUGCUUUUGCAUUGGCAUAUUGGCAAUUUGGCAUGCCCCUCAAUAUCCGACUACUUAAUUAUUCUUUUCUAUACUUUACAAAAUUAAAAUAAAUGCCAUUAAUUUUUAUAUAUUUACUGGUACCAAAACAUGCGUGUAGGUCUCUGGGGAAAACAAUUGCAUAUGCAUGCACUAGCAAACGUUAGAAAGGAAGUGUUUCUUUUUUCUUUUCUUUUUUCCUAAAUAUUUUGUAGAACACAUACAUUAUUGCUAGUAUAUUCAAAGAAUUUAGAAGAAAAAAAAGGCAGAAGUUACUAAUUAAAUAACUUGAAAGAUGUUUCACGUUUUUGUAUACACAUUGAUCAAAUCAAGAGAAUCAAGUUUCCCUUUUUGCUCAUUUCAUUGAACAUGUUUUUUUGUUUGUACGUAGUAAGAGAAAUAUCAAUAGACUACUAAAAGUGAGUUUUUAACAUUUUUUAAUUGAAAAAUAUAUACAAAAAUAUAUACUCUUUGAAACUCGAACUAUGAGGAUGUGAAGAAAUGUCUCGCAUCGAAAAUUUAAGAGAACUAGCAUGAGCUUAUAAAGAGUUAAACUACUUAUGUUUUAGGGGUGGAAGUUCAACUUCCUUCAUGAUAUUCAUAACAAGUGCCGAAAAAGAUUGUUUGCCAGUUUUUUUCUCUUUCAAUAAAGUUGUGAAAUUUUAUUUAUUUAUUCUUUUAUUUAUUUUUUUAUAUACAAAUGAUAGUUUACUUUAAUCUAAUAUAAACUAUGAACAAAAUUAUUCGAAUUUAAGUGCGGAAUAAGGAGUGGUUGGCCACAGCGGAUGUCUGCUCUUCUUCUGUUUUCUUGAGCGUUGAAAAUGCAAGUUAGUUUUGAUAUAGAUAUUUGAAAAAGAAGGUCAAGCACAUGGAGGUCCAAGCGCCCAGGGGUCAUUCCCCUUGAUUUGCGGUUAUCCUUACAAUUGACUGUGUACUUGGCUCCCAUUAAUAAUUUUUUGACUGUGACUAUAGUGCUUGGACCCACCGCCCCACGUACACUUCCACACUUACACAUGCUGCGAGAGCUUAUACUUUUAAAUUCACAGUAAAUGCGAUAAGGCUUAAUAUCACAAAACGUCUUUAAGAUUUACAAAACUAUCAGAUUGUAUCUUUAAUGUAUUUUUUUGUCACUCGUGGUCCUCAAGGUUAGUAUAUGCAAUCACAAAUGGUCCUUCCCUGCUCUUAGGUUCCGUUAAAAACUCUGUUAGUUUGUUGACGUGGCAUAUAUAUAUCACAAAAAAUUUCUGAGGUUCAUACACCUUUCACAAAUGGUCCCUACAAUUCAUAAAAUUUUUAAUCUUGAGGACCAUUUAUGAACCCUAAAUCUUUAGUUUUUUCAUUUUAAAUUAUUUUCAAAAAACUCCAUUAGUUUGUUGAUGUGGCAUAUAUAUGGAGCUCACAUCUACAACAAUAUAGUGUCACAUGUAUUUAAAAUAUAAUACAUAAACCAAAAUUUUAUGAAUUUUAAAUUAAAAAAUUAAAAAAUUUCGGAGGGACCAUUUGUGAUAGGUGCGUGAAUCUCAGGGAUGUUUUGUGAUAUAUAUAUAUAUAUAUAAAUGUCACGUCAGCAAACUAACUAAGUUUUUUACGAAACCUAACAACAUGGAUCAUUUGUGAUCAUACAUACUAACCUUGAAGACCACGAAUGAUACAAAAAAAAUUAAGGAUGCAAUCUGAUAGUUUCGUAAACCUUAAUGAUGUUUUGUGAUAAUAAGCCAAAGCGAUAAUAAUGAAGGAUAAAACAAGUACAAAAAUCAAACAAUAUACUAGAAGAUUAGGCGAGUCUCUCUAUAUUAAAUGGGAGCAUACUUCGGUAAGUAUAUUACUCCUCAAACCAAACAUUUAAAUUAGAAUUGAGCCCGUAUUAGUCACUCUCAUCCUCUCAAACAGAUUCCAUAUAAGGCAUCUAAAGUAAAUCUCACAUGAAUCGCACACAACUACAUAUUUCAAGUAAAUAUGAGAAUAUUUUCACUCCCUAAGGCGUCUGAGCUUUAGCUUGCUUUGUAUUUUAUAAAUUAUAAUGGACCUGAAGUUACUAAGCACCGCUAAGUACUAACCUCCCAUCUUUUUCUUCAUUGCAUAUGUAUGAGCAAAGAAAAUGGUAUUGUAUGGGAAUUAUGCUCGUGAUUAUAUAUAGAGAGUGUUUUUAUUUCCACCCAUAUUCUACUUUUUCACUCACCUCAUAUUCACAACUCCGAUUAAUUUUUUUUAUAAAUAAAAACACUCUGCUUCUCUCUCACCGUUAUUCCUAAAAUAUUCUUAAUGUAUCAAAUCAAUCAUGCUAAACACGCUUCUCACUUUUAAGAUAAUCAUCUCACCUCCAUUCUUCCUCUUCUUUUUUUUUCUUCUCCCAAAUCCUUUUUCCUCGAAAUUUUGUGUUCAUCUUUAAGUUGAGAAAGAGCCAAUUUAUAAUUUCCUACCAUGAAGUCCAUUAUUGAAAUGUUAGGGAGAGGUGUGGAGAAAUGAUGGAGUUUGGUAUGCAUGUAUGUCACUCUGAAAUCCAUUCAACUCCAACAUUUAUGAAUUCUUUCAAAAUUAUUGACAUUUUGAAUAAACCAAAGACUCUUACACAUUCGUUUAAAAUUCUUAUUGAAUAUAUCUAAAUUAUUAAUUUUUUUUUCCAAUAUAAAUGAUAAUCUAAACUAUAGAAAACAGAGAAUUUUAACACACACUACCGAUGCAAGGCAAAAAUGAAAUUAUGAAUUAUGAAGAUGUAGGCCUCUAAAGUAAGACUAAAUGAAAUAAAAUGUGUCGGAAAAUCAACCACGCUGCUUCUUAGGAAGACACGGAAAUUGUAGGCCACAACAACAACACAACACAACCUCAUAAGUCCUAAGAUUUGAUUUGAGAGCAAUCAAAUGGGCGUGCAGCUCAUGCACGAGUGCACACAAAGACACAACCGUAAUUUAACAGACGCAUGCAUGUGCACACAUGGAUGGGACCCACAUUUGUCCUCUAAAGGUUUGCUGCCCUACAAUAGCUUCAAUGAUGGGGGUAUUUAGUUUAUUAGAUACUAAUAUAUAGUUAACUAAAAAAAUUAGGGAAGCUGACGGGUCUAGCUCAAAAAAAAUGAUAUUGACUUGUAAAUUAAUGAUUUCAGGUUCGAACAGUCAUAGCUCUUUAGUAGUGUGUGUAAGAAAUUCAUACCUCGUAAUUUAGAUUAUCGCUUGUAUAAAAAAAAAACAAAAAGAGAUUAAGGAACAGAAAGAAAAUUAAUAAUAUCUCAAGCAACAUGAUGUUUUCAAUAUUUUGGUUUGGGCCACACUUGAUGCUGUACUUUAUUAAGGGUUGAGGGCCUUGUUUUAUACUUUUAAUCUUUCUUUUUGUUUCUUGCUGUUUUGAGUCAAAAGCAACUCAACUCUGUCGAUUGAAAUAGCUCAGCUGAAUAAUUUGAUAACUUAGAAAACAUUUAAUUUUUUGCUUUUCUGGUCAGCUCAGUUGAUUUCUCUUUGCAUACAAAUUGGAAAAAAAAAACCUACAGGCCAACCAACAACCAUAGAAUCUAGUCCAUUGUGGGAUGAGAAGAUUGACAAUUCCAAGCAUUAGAUAUGAUCAAUAUGAGAAAUUCUAUGUUAGAUAUGAGAAAAUUCUACAACGAAGUUAGGCAAUAGGCAAUCAAGUAGUAGAUAUUGUGUAACAAAGAAUGAGACUGCCAACGAAUGGACUAGUGUGUAAAUGCAAAUUCUAGAAAAUGAUAUAACUUUAUAUUUUAAUUAGGCUAAGUCACGAAGAAAACCAAAAAUUAAAAAGAAGAAUGAAAUAUCGAGCUUAGAUCUAAACCAACAAACAACCAAAUCAAACCACCGAAUAAUGGAUGGUUUGGUUUGGUUUUUCCUCUGAUUUUAGCUCAAACGAAAAUUAAUUAAUUUGACCGCAAUUCAAACGUGACACCAAUUCAAAGUGGACAGCGUCCAUCCCUAACUAGUAAAAAGUUUAAGCAUUGAUUUUUAUGUUUUGAUUCACUUAGAAAGGGAGUUCAAUUUCAAACCCCGUUGUGAAGGUGCAUUGUCAUUGAAGCGAGUGACAGCCUAUUUUGAUUGGAUAAGCAAAAGCCAUAAAGCCCUCCUGUUAAUAAGAUUAAUUAAAUCCAAAUUUAGAUCUAACCUUCCCCCUCUUGUGUAGUCCUACAUAGAAUCUAUAUAUACAUUUGUACGUAGCACCAUGUUUAUUUCGUACAUAGUUUAAUUUUAAUUGCAGACUUUGCUUGAAGAAGAUGAGACUAGCUAGGGUGUCUUAAGAGUGCCUGAGAAGCGACCAAAGCCUUAAUUUAAGGGCAUCAUUACAUCACUAACUGGGUAUCAUAUUGCUUGAUGGACUUUUGGUUUUAAAAAGUUGGUUCAAAUAAAAAGUUAAAAAAUUGGAAAACCUAUUUGACAUGCUUGGUAUAUGGUAACGGACACUGCUUGUCAUUCCUCAUUGUAAAUUGCAUUUUCAUACAUAUACAAAAAUAAUUCAUUGAAAAUUUAAAAAGAAAAUUUUAUGUGCACAUAUUCAACUGAUUCCUACUUCUAGAAGAAGAAUAUAAGUAUUUUCCUAUUGUAAUGAUGUUUCUUCAUUGUAAUUCAAAUUGAUAAGAUUAUGUGAGUGCUAGGGAACGGAGAAGACAACAAUACUAUUUGGAUACAGAAAAAUGCUCUCUGUUUUUCUUUUGUACUUUUCCUUCAUUUUUUUGAACAAUUGUGCUUCUCCCUCUGGCAUCCUGCGUGAGCAACACAAUUUCUCUGCACAAUUGAGUAACAAUUUUGAGAUGGAAAAUACUUUUCUUCUUAUCAAGUCAGUGUGACAUGCGUGCAUAAGUUUUCCUUUUUGUGUUUUUGAUGAAUUAUUUUUGCAUAUGUGUCAAAUUGUAAUUCGAAGGAGAAAAAAAUAUCUCCUUACCGAUAAGAAGGCAAGUAAUAUCCUUUUGAGAUACAGGAAAUGAUAUUGUUGUUAGUUAGAUGAAAUUCUUAAACUAAUUUUAUGACUAUCCAAAUAAUUUAAAUUGUAAUUUUCGUUAUUUCUUAAAUUUUACAUGCAUCGAAACCUAAUUUGAAAUUUGAAAUGAAAAUUGGAAUUACAUCAUCCAGGCCAAACAUAUGAUAGGACAUCAGUCCAUUCUAGGACCCAAAGUUGGCAUAGGUUGUACGUGACUAGGCCACACACAAAUUACCAUUAAGUUUCUUUUAUGACCUGGGCCACACUCAUUCGUCAAGAGCUUCCGCGAGUGUUUGAACUUUUAGACCUAUAGGUUUGAUUUUGUCAUCACAAGAUAUCAGUCCUGAUCUCUUGGACCACAGGAGNNNNNNNNNNNNNNNNNNNNNNNNNNNNNNNNNNNNNNNNNNNNNNNNNNNNNNNNNNNNNNNNNNNNNNNNNNNNNNNNNNNNNNNNNNNNNNNNNNNNCUUCCAUCCACGGUUUAUCGUUUCAAAUUACUAUUAUGCACCUUAUUCCUCUGUCACUCACCUACCUCUUGCUACUAUAGUUAGUGAAUUGUCCUUGUUGCUUUUUAACCUCCCGGUUAAGGAUCAGUUCUCUCUUCUUUGAGACAGGCAACAUACUAAUACCAAUAGUUUCUAUAUUUUGUGUAGAGAUUGACUGAAUCGUAGAAUUUACAGCCAACGGUGAGUCACUACAAAUCUCUUGGACUCCUGUGGUCCAAGAGAUCGGGACUGCACAAGAUAUAACACACACAUAUAUAAUUAAAGCAUAAACAACACGAAAUAAAGUGGAUAAAGGAAAAUUCAUAUCAUUCAUGUUUCCAUGAUAAUUGUACUCUAACCACCAACCUACAAGAUAUUACAAGAAAACAACAAUUUAGCCACUAACAUCUGUUUCUGUAGCAUAGGAUGAGAUGAUUAAAGGCACUAUAGUGCAUUAUAGUACAAUAGACACGAAUAAACCGAGGAUGUUAGCUAUUAGGUAUUAAUUAUAGCCAUCUUAUUAUGUGUUACGAGUGUUGUAUAUCUUCUUAUAGUGAGAAAAAUUAACAAUGGACAUGGUUGGACACGAAUAACUGUACUAACUACGUUAGUACCAUAAAGAGUAUACUAGUGAUUUGUCCCCCAAACUUGUACCUAAUUUUCGAUUGAUCCCCUAUCCUUUUUUUUUUUAUAAUAGAAAAUUAAGGAUAUGAACUUCUUUUUUUUGCUAAUUUCUCCCUUGCCGUCUAAAUUUGCAACAUUUCAUCCAAUUUGCCGUUAAAUAUGAGGGCAAAAUGGUCAUUUUGUACAUUAAAAAUAAAUAAAUAAAUAAAAAAUACUCUCUCUCUCUCUCUCUCUCUCUCUCUCUCUCUCUCUCUCUCUCUCUCUCUCUCUCUCUCUCUCUCUCUCUCUCUCUCUCUCUCUCUCUCUCUCUCUCUCUCUCUCUCUCUCUCUCUCUCUGCAAGUGUAGAUGAAGAAAACCCAAGGGGGAGGUGGUAAAAAAACAUAAGGGAGGAGGUGAGGGCACGGGUCUGUGGGGGUGGGGGAUUGGUUUGGUAGUGGAGGGUUGUGGUCAUGGGGGAAUGGGAGGAGAAGAAAAACCCAUAGGAGAGGGGGGGUGGACUAGGUUUAGGGGAUGAAAAUACAUAAAGGGUAGGUGUGGGGAAGGGUCUGUGGGGGUGGGGGAUUGGUCUGGGAGUAAAGGAUGGUGGUCAUGGGGGAAUGGAAGGAGGAAGGGAGGAGAUGGAAGGGGUUGGCAUUAGGUUUACUCUUUUUCUUCAAUUUUUUUUUAAAAAAUAAUUUUUAAUUGAAAAUUGGAUGAAAUGUUGAGAAUUUGGACGGUAGGAGGGAAAUUAGCGAAAAAAAGAAGUUCAUAUUCUUAAUUUUCUAUAAAUAAAAAAAAAAGAAUUAGGGGUCAAUUGAAAGCUAGGUACAAGUUCAGGGAGUAAAUUACUAGUAUACCCUACCAUAAAUAUCAGGGUCUAUUGUCCGUUUUUUCUUGUAAUGAACUUAAUCCGGUUGUAAUUACAAUCAUAUCAACUGUUCAAAUGGGGGCCAAGUAGUGUACUUUAUAUUAUUGGGUUGUAGCAAACAAGUUUAGAAAAUAAUGCAUGAAAGGAGACGAGAAAAAAUUACGAAUAAAGUGGAUUAAUGGGUCGAGGAUAAUAACGUUUUCACUACUCUUUUUGGUGACUUAGCUUGUCACAUUAGAGGAUAAAGAGUAGUUGGGAGAAGUUGAUUAGGGCAUUGCAAUAACGUUUUCUUGAUGCAUGACCUAUAACCUAUGGCUGAUGGAUGAUCAUGUCCUUUUCAUGCAAAAUGUUAAUCUCCAUAAGAUACAAGCGCAAAACUACAACAAUCUUGUGCAAUAUCUUUAUAGAAAUAAUAAUAUAGAAAGAGAAUUACCAUCAAAUUAAGAGGUAGUUAGAUGCAUAUAUUCUCCGUGAAAAAUAAGAAAAAAAAUUUGUUAUAAUUUGUCAUUUAAUUCUUAAGAUUGUCGGCAAGCAUGAAAAAAAGUUUUCCAUAUUAUCCAAAUACAUAAGUCAAUGUUAAUGGAAACUAUACCAUAUUCAUGUUUAAUCAUUUUGCACAUCCACUCACUCACUCGUAGUACAACCAUUUGCAAAGAGGAAAGAUAAGGAUAGAUGAUUGAUUGAUUGAUAUGAAUGAUCAAAACCCACAUCUAAACAACAGCAAUCAUACAUUUAUGCCUUUAUUUACACUCCUGCAAAGAUAGAAAUUAAAUAAAGUACAAAGGUAAGUACUACACAGAUUUGCAUCUCUCUCUCCUUUCUUUCGCAAGUUGAAUAUUGCUAUCUCUUUGCACAUCAAGGGCGCGCCAGAAUGAUUUUUCUCGUUAGACUCCAUAUGAAGUGGCCAGAAGUCUGAGGAUAUUCACCUUAGCUUCUAAGAGAAAGAUGUAAUUAGCAAUCUCUUGGAACAUGGUUUCUGGAUUGCUGCUGUUAAUGAUGCAUCCUGGGAUGAGCUUCUGGAGCUGCAUAAGUUUCCUUUCUAUGGAAGAUUUGGCGGCCUUAGAGUUCCCAAUCAAGGAAAGCCUUAGCUUUCUCUUCUUGGACCCAACUCUCCAUAUUGAACUCCUUGUUCUCAUUUUUGAGUGUGUUUGAGAGAGAGAGAGAGAGAGAGAGAGAGAGAGAGAGAGAUGCAUUCAUAAGGGGGGGUAAGGGGGUGUUUAUAUAAGCCAAAACGAGACACUUCACAUCACUCGUCGUGUAUUGCAUUCUGACUAUUCUAAUCAUCUUAAUUUAUCACAUGAUUCAUUGGUACUACAAGUUUUCAUGAACCUCUUCUCCAACUUUUACAUAAAUAUGUACUUGCAUUAAACUUGCAUCUAUUCUAUUAUCAAGUCUGAGACUAAUUAAUCAAAAUUAAUAGUAUCUCUCCUUUAAAUGUUAGAAGACGUCCCAAGUUCGAAU